UGAGCCCUGAGCUGCACACCUGUCAGGCAUUGCCAUGGGGCAGGGCCACGGGGAGGGCAUGUUCCCUGCUCCUGCGGGUUCUCCCCUGGAGCUGCUCUGAGAGGACCCACCUCCCCACCUGCGCUUGCAGAAGCCAGGCUCGUCCUCUCAGAAGCCUCUGCCCGCGCCAGGCUCCUGUUCACCAGCCCACCACGGCCCAGCUCUCUCUCAGGAAUUCCAGGAGCGCUUGCUGUGGACCACAAGGACCUUGCUUGUGCGAGGCCUUUGGUAUUCACCAAGCACUUUCAUCUGUGGCGUUUAGCCCGUGCAGCAAUCUCACGUGACAAGAAUCAUUUCCGGUUCACAGAGGAAGAAACCAAGGAGGCUCCCAGAGAUAGAGGAACUUGUUCAGCUAGGCUCAGAGGCCACCAAACGCCCAGGCUAGUUGGGGCUGUAAGAAGAGCGGCGAUGGACAAGAGGGUGACUUUCAGCUUUUCCACUGCAAGGUCUGUGUCUGAAAGCUUCUUAAUCCCUAUGUGCCUCAGUUUCCUUGUUUGGGAAAGGGAGUACUUAGCUCGAAGUUGUGAGGAAUUAGUUGGUGCAGGAAUGUUCCUUUUGAAAAGCUUUUGUUCGCUUGAAAGUGAGGGAGUGUACUCCCAUGUGUCAAUUCCACAAAUGCUCAAAAUGGCUGAGAUGGCCAGGAUAAAGCCACGAGCCAGGAACUCCACCCGGGUCUACCAGACAAGUGACAAGGACCCAGCUAGAGCCAUCACUGUGGCCCCCCAGGGCGCUCAGCAGAGGGGAGCUGGACCUCCAACCCAGUACUCAGGAUCUUGAACCGCUACGUCGAAUGCCCGCCCUAAGAAGGGCACUUGGAGUGCCACAGGUGCCCAGAAAUAAGCGCUCUAUCAACAGCAGCUGCUGGCGUGCAGGAGUUCCCCAGUGGCGUUCACUCUGCUGUGAGCUCCUGAGCUGCAGAUAUGCGUGCUGGGCCAAGUCUCUUGUGAUGCCUGUGAUGACGACAGAAAGACAGAAGGGUCUGGGGGACACAGGACAUCUGGUCUGAGUGCACACAGACGACAACCCUUGGAUACCAGCAAGCCAGGUACUGUAAUGCUCCUUCAAUAUCACGUUUAUAGGAUUAGCUAUACAUUUUCCACUAGUUUUAGUGCAAAGUCAACAAUGCAUGACAUGGUAAGAGAAAUACUUGCAAACAAUUUCCCUAAAAAGCAAAGGAAGAAACUGUAGAUAUUCGUUGUCUGUUACUGCAUAGCACAUUGCCUUACUACUCCUAGGGGUCACAAAACCAAGUCCUAAAAAUAAUAUUACCUGCAGAGGACAUCGGUUUGUGUGUCCAAUCGCCUUAUUAAAAUUCAGGCACAAUGCCCUACACCUGAUCUCUAGGAGGUGUUUUUUUGUAUAAAUGAGACUUCAUACCUCUUGAACAGCAACUCUGCUUUUCUCCCUCUCCCCAGCUCUGGUCACUGCCGUUCCACUCUGUGUUUCUCUGAGUUUAACUCUCUGAGCUACUUCACAUAAAUGGAAUCACACAGUACUUGUCUUUCUGUAAUAGGCUUCUUUCACUUAACAUAAUGUCCUGUGUGUUGAUCUAUUCUGUUUCCUAAGACAGAGUUUCCUUUCUAAGGCUGGAGAGUAUUUCAUUGCACGUACAAGUAUAUGCCACACGUUCUUUAAUCUUCUAUCUCCUGAUGACCGUUUGAGUUGCUUCCAUGUCUUGGCUGUUGUGAAUUACAUUGUAAUGAACAUGAGAGUGCAUGUAUCUUGAAAUCCUGACUUCAGUUGUUUUAGAUAAAUACUAAGCAAUGGUCUUGCUGGAUUAUAAUAUAAAUCUAGGAAUUUUGCCCCCAGAAGUCAGGCUUUAGAUACCAUACUUCGAUCCCCACCUCCAAACUGUGCUCUUUGGACAAUGGGUAGGCCACUAGGCCAAUCACCUUCUCUUGCUGGGAACAUGGUGUUCAAGCUGAGAGCCAGGGAGCAAGGUCACCCAGGGUGCAGAUCCAGCACAGGUUUCCAAAGGGCUAUUUCAGCCUCACCUGACGAGCCUAGAAAAACAACUUUCCAGGACUCAAUCCAAGCAUAAUGGAUCUGAAUAUCCAAUGGAGGACCCUUAGGAUCUGUAUUUUAUGAAUUUCCUAGUCAAUUAUGAAGUUCUGUCAAAUUUGUAAACCACAGCAAAGGCAAACUCACAAAUUCCUGACCUGAGGUCCCCAGAGCCAACCUGAUUCCUCCUUGGAUUCCAGGAGACAUCUCCACAUUCUUCCAAUGACUUUGCAUCCUACUGUGUACUAUAGCUGGGGCUGGCUUCUGCAACUGCAGUUGAAUGAGAGAGUCCACAACCCCUGGCACUGUAGCCACCUGCGGAGUCAUUGGCUCUACAAUCUCUGCUGUUCUAAUGCCCUUCUAUAGAGUGUGUUCCCUUGUGUGGCUCUCAGACAUCCAAGAAGGGGGGUCCCCAAGAACAAGACAGCUGAUGGAGGAGUUUAAAAUACCAAGUGAUGGGGGGGAACCUGUGCGCUCUCGGAUGUGUUUCUGGCUUCACUAAACCCACCCUUGACCUCAGGUGCUCAUUCUAGUGAGAGGCAGUGAAGGUUGUAUUUUCUCUUUUAUAUGUGUAUUUUGUGUAUCUAAUGGAUGUAAGGAUGGUUCUAGGCUAAUGCUAUCCAGUAGAAUUUUCCAUGAUAAUGGAAAAUCCUAUAGUAGGCUAUCAUCUUGUGUUUAUUACUGCUGAGCCCUUGAAAUGUCACUAGUUUUAGGACCUGAAUAUUUUAACUAAUUUAAGUAGCCACACCCGGUUAACGGGUCUUGUUUUGGACAAUGCAGUGCUAGGUAUUUUACCUAAUUAUGUCUGCAGGGUGGAAAGCACAAGCUUAGUUUUCUAGGUUAGGAAACUGAGACUCAGGGAACACUCACAUGGUGGACGUCACCAAAUGAGACAGGGAGACGAUUCAGAUCCACAUUCCGCAAGCGAUACAACUGCUUCAUCGACAACACACACACAGUGCGUGUAAGACUGAGAUAGGGGAUUAAGGAAGACUGAACAUCCCAUCUCUUGGGCAUCAGCUCUGUUUUAGUUACAAGGCCAAAACAGAAAGGGAAGCCACGAUGCAGGACACACACACUAUCAAUUCGGCCUAACCAUGCCGAUGGGCCCGCCAACUGGCUUGGCGGGUGCCUCCAGCCGUCCUGGCUCGACACGGGCCUUGCGGUAGAGCAUGUUUUAUAGCACGCUGAAAACUGCAAGAUAGCUCAGCCUCCAAGAACAAAAGUGAUUGCAGGGUGAAGAGGGAAGGGGGCCAAGAGGCGGGGCUGCCCAUUUCCCAGGGUGGACGGCACGUCGAACAAGCCACAUCCAGGACUUUAAAACACCGCUCGGCUGGAAGACGGCCCCCGCUGCCGCCCCCGCUCACCGCGCCCCGGGAAAACUCCAUUUCGAACAGUUACGGUCAGCCAUUUAAAUCACAUUACGCUGUAAGUGGAUAUACAAAUUGUCAGCCCUAAUGAAAUUUAGGAGGAAGCAGUGGGAGAGGUGAAAACACUUAGGACUGGUUUCUUGGUUUUCGAGACCCGGCUUCAAGUGGUUUAAGCUGCUCUCUGGGAACGCGCUUGGCGUGCGGUUUUGCUGCCAGCGUCUGGAGGCGAGGCAGGGAGUUCAGGCCGCAUCUUCUGCCCGGAUUCCCUCAGGAAUUGCACCGCGAACUAGACCCCCAUCUAGACAAUGAGCGCCUCGCGGAAGGCGAGAGGGUCUUACCCAUUUCGGCCCCCCGCCCCGCGCUGAAGGACUUGUCACACACAGGCACCGAGAGGUGCGGAAUGAAAGCCAAGCAGCUCCCACGCACGGCUUGCUUCACCAGCUUCAGAGGAGGUCCCCGGAAAAGAAGUCGACCUCUGCCCCGGAAGUGCUUCCGCCAACGACCAGGAACUGCUUCCGCCAAAAGCCAGGGAGGCCAGAAGGGCGGCAGAGUGCAGAGUCAGACUCCGCCCUCCUUCCGCCUCCUGAGGCGAUGCGCCAGGCAGUGUGUUGGACUAACCGAUGAAUUAUCUGCCGGCAAAUAAUUUAUCAGGCUUCUUGAUCCAGGGCAGAAGGAGACUUGGCAGAAGUGAGGGCUUGCAGAUUAAGAUAAUCAUGUAAUAGCUACCAUUUGUUAGUGAUGACGUCUGCCUGUCACUGCACAAACCCUGUCGAGAGUAAUCCUCAGAAAACUCCUGCCCAGGGACUGGGGUUUGCCCCUUUCAGAGAGGAGCAAAUGGAAGCUCAGAAAGGUCGAGGAACUAGCCCAAGAUCACAUAGGUCGUUUUGGUUGCAGAGCUGGUAGUUUUGCCAGUCUGCACACCCCUCCCCCCCUUCGCAGAGUGCCCCUGGAUGGCUUGGGAGGGAUGUGGGUACGGUAACAGGAGGACAUGCCAAAGAGCGGCCUUCCCUACAUGAAGUAUCAUUUACAUACAUAAAUGUACCAUUUACAUUCUCUCUUUUCCCAAAGAUAAGCUUCUGAGGUCCUAUUUUCCACCUCCAUAUAGCAUCCAUUUCCAGGGUCUCGAGAUCACUGAAGAAAUCCAACUCACUCCUGGGUUCCAUCCAAACUCUUGUUCCUGUACCAGAUGUUGAGGCCCAGAGAAGGCGAAGAAUUUGCCCAAACCCACACAGCAAAAGGUGGCCAGAGGGCAACUGGAAUCCAGUCGGCGAAAGGGCCUUGGGGUCGGUCAUGAAGCCUGGAUGGAGGAUUCUCUCGGGCUUUUCAUCAAGGAAACUUCAUUGCUUGACACCCCCCGGGGUCUCCAAUGCGUCAGCGUGAGAACUUAUAGGAGGGACUCUGAGGUGGCCUCCGCUGGAAAAAUAGGCCAGCCGCUUCUGGGCCAGGAAUCAAGUGUCGGAUUUCUAGCAUUCCGAGUCCUCCAUGUUUCUCUUCCCAGCACCCCUGAGGCAUCACCGCCUCGUGGAGGCAAGCCAAGGCUAUGCUCAGUCAGUCCUGGCUUUGUGUCUUACUAGCUCUGUAGUUUAGAGGAAGAUAUUUAAUCUUCUGGGGCAUCUUUUUCCUUAUCUUUUGAAAUGAGCAGAGUUAUGCUUCCUUUUAUCAGAUGCCAUGAGAUUAAGCAAAGCAAGUAAAAAUACCCAGAAGCAAGCCCAGCAGGUGAAGUGCUUGGUAAAUGGAGGAUAAUAAACCUGUGUUGUGGUUACACAGACCUCAUUAUUUCCAUUUUAUAGAUGAGAAAACUGAGGCUGAGAGGAAGCUGAGUUGCUUGCCCCAAGGGGCACAGCUUGCCACCCACAGGAAGUGCUGUGGGGUCCAGUGAGGGAAGGUCUAGCAUGCCUUAGCACCAAGCUACAACACUUGGGCCACAUUGUUUCCCUCUUAGCCCCAGAAUCUUGCUUUGCGAAACAGAGGUGAGUCCCCACCUUGCCCAUGUCAUAGGUCUCUCCUAAGGCAUGAGAGAAUGUUCUACAGCAUUUCCCUUGGAUGGGGGAGGAAUCGGCAAGUCUGAGCUGAUGCUAAACCCAUCCUCUACCUCCCCACCUUCUGCUUCCCCAGCCUUGAACCCCAUCAAGAACCUCCAGGACACCCCUCCCAGUGCCUUUCAGGGAGUGCCCUGUAAUUUGCUGAAUCAGGGAGGCUCAUGAGUCAUGGAAAGGCGGCGAUGAGAACAUGGCUGGCUCCUCCCCGAUGCCGGUGAGGGCCACCAUCAGCAUCCCUACUGCUGCUAGGGGGCUGCCUCUGUGAAAGGCCUUUCAUUUAUCUGAUAAGCAAUCCUCACCAUCACCAUCACCGUCUCGUGUCAUAGAGGAGAAUAUGGGAGUUCCAAGGGGUUAUGUAACUGCCCAGAGGACAGACAGCUGAUAGGAGCAAAGCUUGGAGCCAGUUUGUCUCAACUAAAAUUCUUCAUAGUUCCCUCUUAGUGUGGUUGUGGUGUAUUUGUGAAGGUGGGAGAAGGGUGCCCUGCUGUGUGUGUGUGUUGUCACAGGAGACAGGAAGGAUGGGCACCAUUUCUUCACUGUGGAAUCUUAGUGUAGCAAUAAAGAAUGCAAAGAUGGCUGCAUAAUGUCUCCUGUGCUUUGCACAUACUCCUGUGCCUAGGACCUUGAGAGGGGCAGGGUGUUUUUCCACCUCUUGUGAAUCAAGGUUUGCUUUGACCAGUAGAAUGCCCUGGAAAUGAUACAGUAUAACCUUCAAGUCUAUGCCUCAAGAGAGCUAGGAAGCUUCCAAUCUCACCUUCUCUGGAAUGUAUCACAGUGUUGAAGAGCCCAGGUGGCCUCCCUAAAGAGAGCAGACCACGCCUACAGAAAGACCUAGCCAACAGCCAGCAUCAAUUGUUGUCUAGAGAGUGAGGCACCUGGUGUCAUCCAGCUCUUAGCCUUUCUGCCAGGCUCCAAGCAAAAGCAGCAGCAGGAUCCCUCCCUCCUAACCCAGCCCAAACUGUUGAUGCACAGAGUCACAAGCAAACGCCAUGAUUAUUGUUUUAAGCCACUAAAUGUUGGUGUGGGUGUGGUGUGUUAUUUGGCAAGUGAUCAUUGAUAAAGUGAUUGACUUAUUUUCUCAUCUGUAAAGUGGGGAUGUGUGGGGAGCAACUCGGACUAGACUGUUACUGGAAUUAAGACUUAUUCUAUGCAUCUGCUCUCCCACAAUAUGGCGCUGGGAGAGAAGAAAACAGCUUCUACACAGCUGCCUCCGGUUCAGCCAAUAAACUGUAGGACUUGCUCCUGAUUGGAGGAGAGCAGCGAACUCGGCAUGUGGGCAGCCGAGUUGGGAUUGGCAGAGGAGGAUUAUAAAGGAGGAGAGAGACGGCAUGCACCAGGAACAUCUAAGGGGAACAUCUAAGGGAACACCUGUGCAGCCCCCGAGAGAGCCGGCCGGCGGUGUGCCGCUCCCCUGUGGAAGUGGGGAAUGUGGCCAGGGGGAACCGCCCUUCCACGGAGGUGGAAGGGACAGUAGCCAACCCGGGAAGAACCAGCAGCAAACCCGGGGAGGGCCGAGCAGACGAAAGAACAGCGCAGGGUCCUGUGUCGUUCCUCCACGAAGACGGGAAGCAACAUAAUGGUGCCGUGACUCGGAUAUGAAGCCUAGGCAGGGUUUAGUGUCGUUCCUCCACGAAGAGGGGGAGCGACAUAAUGGUGCCGUGACUCGGAUAGGAAACUUAGCAUGGAUAUGAAACUUAGGAGGGAAGAAACGGGAAGAAGUGGAAAAUAUCAGAGAGAGAGACUAGCAAACAGCCUAGGGAAAAGCCGGACAAAAAAGGUGCCGGAAGAAGCUAAUGGUGCCGUGACUCGGAUAUGAAGCCUAGGCAGGGUUUUGUGUCGUUCCUCCACGAAGAGGGGGAGUGACAGGGAUGAUAUUCACAUCGUACUUGAUCAACUUGUAACCAUGAGUAGGCAAGUUGAAGCCUGAGAAUGCCUGAACCCUGAGUCUGGCACAGUUAGCAGCACCCGCACUGAAGGCUUGAACUACUGGUGUGAGCAGCUCUGCUGAGGGCCCCUGAAGCGAGGGACAGGAGGCAAGCCCUUCAGUGGGUAGAGGAAGCAUGGAUGGAGAGGGCAUCCCUGGACAAGAAUGAAGUAAGGCUCACAGCAAAUCAGUGAUGUGGCGGAGAUAGUCAGCAUCUGGCUGGAGUUGUCUUGGUUACAGAGCUAUUAGGCCACCCUGAGUUUGGCUGGAAGCCCAGGAUUGUGGAGGUUUGAGCCAAGUUGAUGCAAUACCAAAACGUCCCUGAGAUCAUGGAGGCCUCAGGUUCCAUGGCCAACGUGAGGGUCUAGUGACUAAGGAACUGCCGAGGUGGAAGUGUCUCCAUAGCAUCUCAGGUUCAGGCCUGAGCAUGUCCUCGCUCUGCUGAGUACCUUUUCAUAGCCCCCACCCCCCCAGGAGGAAGUCCAGACUGCAGAUCCCAGCUUCUGCCCGACUGCAGCCUGAGCUGCCGAGGGUUGCGUUCAGCUCCACCACUGCCCUUUGCCUUCAUAUUCUAGCGCACCCCCAGACUCUGGGGUGGACCGCAUCUCUGCUCACCUCGGGGUCUCAGCACAAGCUGCGCCCUUCUUGAAUGCUCUUACUCCGCCUUCCUCUGCUUCACCUGGAGAACCCCCACAUCCUUUAGAAGAUCAGCUGAAACAUCCCUUUCUCCAGGGAGCAUCCUUGAUCCCCCAAAUCUGGGUUUGUCUCUCCUCCUCAGGCCUCCCCUGGCACCCUGCCCUUCCCUGCCCCUCGUCACUGUGACUGUUGGUCUCCAGGAUGAGUGAUCUAAGAACACAAGGACGGAAGUUUCUUUAGCCACCUCUGUAACCCCACCACCAAAAUCGGUGCUAGCACACAGUGUGCAUUAAAUACGCCUUCCUUCUGUGUAAACGAUAAAUGGGUGAGUUGAGUGAAGUCUUGGAGAUAAACAUGACAGCAACAAACAGGAAAUGAGGACAAGGUGGUAGAUACCAUCUUGAUAAGGAUCAUAGACUUAUGAGGACGUGUGUGAGUUUCUCAGGGGAUGGGGGUGUCUAGAUGAAAUGGCCUACUUAUGAAAGGCUGGUUGCCCCGGGGGUGGGGUGGGAAGGCACCCAGAGGCCUCUCCUGAUCUAUGAGAGCUCUGGUUAGGGGAACUCCGUUGAGUUGGGGAUUGAGGAGUAGCCUUUGUAAGCAUCAGAAGAGGCAAUAGUGUUGGGUAGUUGGACUCACUUUGACAUCAGACGCCAAAUGUCAGUAAUGGCAUACAGCAGAGCUUUGCAACAUAGGACGUGCUUGACUUCCCUCCACUUUGUGAGUAAGGAUGCAGGUUUCUGCCAACUUGGGGCUCCAUCAACCCUUAGGACUUUGGAGUCCCCUGCUCCCAGCUGAUUGAAGAGAAAGAUGCAGAGGAGAACUCGCAGAGGCAUCUCCUCUGUUCAUCUUCCAGGGGAGACAACUAGUCAUCGUAUCGCCCUAUGUGUGAGAAUGGGAAGUGUUGUCUCUGGUUGGGUGGCCUGGUUAGGUGACCACUUCCCAGUGUUAGUGCGACAGUGAUGAAGGGGGGGCUUGAAUCUCUGGUGGGAAAAUGCACUCUCUGGCAGAUUGAAGGUCUACAAACCUCCAGGUGCUCAUCUGUAAAAUGAGGGCAGAAGUAAACUUCACAAAAGUCUUGGGAUUCUUGCUGAAAUGGGAUGAAAGAUAAAACCCUUAGCAAGUGCCAGGCCUUAGCUUGGUGUUGCUUAAGCCUCUGCUUGUGACACCAGUGUCCCAUAUUGGACCACUCGUUCAAGGCCUGGCUGCUCUGUUUCCAAUCCAGUUUCCUGCCAAUAUGCCUGGAAAAUCAGUGGAAGGUGAUGGGCCCCAACCACCCACAUGGUGUGCCAGGAUGGAGUUCCUGGCUCCUGACUGGCCUGGCCCAUUCCUUGCUGUUUAGGCCAUUUGAAGACAGAACUAGCAGCAGGAAGGUUGAUUCUCUUUCUGUGUCAUUCCGUCUUUUAAAUAAGUAAAUCUUUACAAGGGAAAUAAAUACUUGACAAAUAAUACCUUUUUUAAGAGGCAAAGACAGAAAUCUGCCAUACGCUGGUUUACUCCCCCAAAUACCCACAGUGGCCUCUAUCCGGGAAUGGGAAUUCAGUCCAGGUCUCCCAUGUGGGUGCCUAGUUACUUAGGCCAUCUCUGCUGCCUCCCAGGGUCUGCAUUAGCAGAAAACUAGAGUGAGCAGCCAGAGGUGGGUAUCAUUGUGGCAUUCCAUUGUGGGAUGUGGGCAUCUUAAUGGCUAGGCUAAAUGUCUACUCCACGCUUUUUUAAAAAAAAAUUUUAUUAGUAGAAACACAGCUUGUCUGAAGGCAGUGGACAGAAGACAUCUGAAUUUUCUCUCUCCUUUUUUUGCUGCUUCUGCAGUUUGCACCAUUGUUUCAUCCUCUUUCUUCUUGCUGUCCUCUCCCCUCUCUCUCUCCCUCCUGUCCACUUGGGUCUCAGGACUCGCUUGGUGCCUCCAGAAUGUGUUGUCCCCAUCCUCAUCGAGUGGACUGUCUCUGCAGGCAGAUGCAGCUCCCGUCACCAGCUCACUCUCACUCCCCCUCCCUUUAUGUCCACAAGCCUCAAGCUUUUGACCUCAAGAAAGCACAUGGUACCAACCAAACCUGCCAAAGAGGCACUACCACCACCACUUCCCAACUUAGCCAGAGGAUAGUAGCGAGUGUUCCACGAACAGGAGUCAAGUAUAUUGGAGGAAUUCAGAGUGAAACAGCGGGUUUGCUUCCUCUUGCUGCUCUUUGGUUUUGUACUGUCAGUAUGCUCAUGAACGUCGGAAGUCCUUUGCUAAAUGACAUACUGCGUGUGGAGCGGCCCCUGGGUCAGUGAGAAAGGAGAUGCUUAGAACACAUAUCAAAAAUCGGAGUUCUUGUUUGUUUCGGCAGGGACAAGCUGGUUAGGAAUCUAGCUGAUGAUUUGUUGUCUUUUUUAAAAAAGACUUAUUCAUUUAUUUAUUUGACAUGCAGCCUGACAGAGAAUCUUGAUCCAUUGGUUCCCUCCCCAAAUGACUGCAGUGGUUGGAGCUGGUAUAGGCCAAAGCUAGGAGCCAGGAACUCCGUCUGGGUCUCCCACAUGAGUGGCAGGGGACCAAAUACUUGGGCCAUCUUUUGCUGCUUUCCCAGUCCUGUUAGUAAGGAGCUGGAUUGGAAGGGGAGAAGCUGCGACUUGAACUGGAGCUCUUACAUGGGAUGCUGGCGUCACAAGCAGUGGCUAACUCAGCUACAUAACAGCUUUAUUCCCAGAUUUUGUUUUUAAAACUAAUUCCAUGCUUUUAUGGAAAUGCUACUAUUGGGCUUUGGAGGCAGCCUUUUGCAGGUUACAUCGUGUAGAUUUAAAAGCCGGUAGAGUGGCUGCUUUUGUCCCCAAAUCUCAACUCAGGUCACUAAAAUCAGAAAAAUUCAGGCAUCCGUUCAAGGUGAUGCUGUUGGUGAGCAGCAAAGCCAAAACCUGGGGAUGGCUGUGCUUUUCAUGCCAUCAUUAAAUAUUGGGGUCUUGCAACAUGCAAGGCAUUUCUUCAUACCACGUGAUAAAUGCUUUUGGUUUAUUUUCUUUAACUUCUUUUGUUGGCUUACAAAUGCAGACCUUCUUGAUUGAGACCAGUGGUUUUCACCCAGGGUAACUUUGCCCCCCAGAGGACAUUCAGCAACAUCUGGAGAUACUUUGAGUUGUCACAAUGGGAGAGUGUUGGCACCUAGUGAGGAGAGGCCAGGAUGCAUCUAAACAUCUUGCAAUGUCCAGGACAGACCCGUAGAACAACGAUCCAGCCCUGGAUGUCAACAGCAAUGAGGCUGAGAAACCUCACUUAGAGGGAGAUCACUUUUAAAAACCAUCAUAACGCAAAAGCCUGCAGGGGCCAGUUAGGUGGUAUCAGUGGAUGGCUAAUCAGACGUGCCCAGCUCUGUUGAAAAGGAAGGAGCAGUGGCUAAUUGGAUCCCACAGAUUGCUGCUUCGUGGGAUCUGUGGCAUAUGCAGCCAGACGGCUGGCUCGUUCCACUUUUCAAGGCAGAAAUCCAAAUUUUAAUGUGAAAUAUUCAACUCUUAAAUGUUGAUGACUCAUUUGAGUAUUUUUUAAUGAUAUGUCAAACAAAACACAUCUGGAAGCAUGAUGUCGACAGCUGGGAGUGCCUACCCAGCGUUGAGCCAAUGUUAGGUGUUUCAAAUGGCACUGGCCCUGCACUUCCUUGCUUUAACCUCAGACUUAUUCCAGUGUCCCUGUCCUUGUCCCUUUCCCCUCCUCGCCAUCAUUUACUGAACUCUUACUACGUUAGGUGGUACAUCCUCUACUAAGCACUCCAUAGUGUUAGUCUGUUUUAUUUUUUACGAGAACCCCAGGAGGAAGCAUGUAAUUCUCCCAUCUUAAAGACAGAGGGUUCAGAGACACAAGUUAUGCAACUUUCCCAAGGUCAGAGUUGCAAGUGGCAGUCCUGGGAUUUGAACCCCAACAGUCUGGCUCCGGAGCCUGUGUCCUUACCUGCUAAGCCAGGCUGCCCUGAAAAAGAUGCUGCAUUUCUUAGACUCCACGAUGGGCGUCACAGUACUCAUGGGUCUACCGCUCUGGUCAGCAGGGAUUCCCCAGGUGUUCAGAACCUCAGUCCCUCUACUGAAAGCCAUGGUUUUCAAAGGAGGUGAUUUGGCAAUGUGUGGAAACAUUCUGGUUAUCACCAAUAGAAAGUGGGGAAGGCUAUUGGCAUCUCAGGGGAGGGACCAGGGACAGAUCUCCAUAACAAAGAACUCUCUGGCCCCAAGUUCAACAGCAUCAAGACUGAGCAACCCUGACCUGCAGAUGUAACUGGCAGGAUGUAAAAAGCAACCAGCAUAAUAUUUCAGGUGACUAAAUCUGUUCUCCUGGGACGCCACUCUAUUCCUCUCUCCAUAGCAUUCCAUCUUCUCUUGCCCUGGAGUUUCAUGGCAGUCCCAUCCCCGUGUACUAAAUGCCCACACUGAAGAAGAAUCUCCCAGAACUCUCUUAAGUAUUAGCUUUAGCAAAGUAAGUAAAAAAUGGAAUAAUGAACAAGAGGCCAAAGAAAAAUGAGCAGUAAAGCACAAAGUCCCUGAGAUUCAACGAUGGCAUCAUCUGCGUGCCUACAAACACUAGUAUCCUUUCUGGAUGCUCUAGGGCACAACCCGUGCCCAGUGAACUCGUGCUUCAGGGAACAUUUUCUCUGCUGAACACACACACGUGACUGCGUGGGAUUUCAUAAAAUGAUUUUAAUAGAAAAGUACAAGAUAUGAACAAAAAUAAAUAAUCUUUAUCUCAUUUCCAGCCCAGCAAAUUGUACACUGCAUAUAAAAAUUGUCUAAGAUGCAAUUUUCCCUCCAUUUAUUUUUCCUUUAGAAAUACCAAGACAGCAUUUUAAUUCAAUCUUCUAGUUUCCAACUGAUAUACUUUUUAAAACUCACAUCAACUUUUAAUUCUACAGCCAUAUCUUCAAGUUGCCUAACACGAUGAUGCUUCAUUAAAACAAAGUAUUAUCCAAUCAUGAGAUUUAGGUGUAAAGUUUGUGUGACCAGGUGAAUUAGAAGAUCCCUUUUUUUGAGUUUUAUUUCAUGCCUCUAGAUGUUUCCCAGAUGAAUCAUUUAUUUCAUCUUUGCAAACAUAUCCUCUCCUUUCCCCCACUCCAUAGAGAAGAGACUAGAAAAUAAUUUCUUAAAAAAAUAAAUACUUUAAAAGUCUACAGUGAUAUUGCAGUAUUUUAGACCUGUGCCCUGGUGCUCAUUUGCAUUAAAUAUAUGCUUCAAGUUGUCAGUACCUUUUCUACCUGCCUCUAUUCAUAGGACGGGCCACUUUGUCUUUGGGGGCUGUUUUUGCUGACGAUUUCUUAGAGUCAGCUGGUACUGAUCUUUGAUUUGGAGUACUUACUCUGCUUUAGCAUCGUAUUUGAUCAUUUCAGUGACUUGAGUAGUGUUAAACUGAAAAUUGGGAUUGGCAAAAUCAUCUAAGAGUCCGGAGAGGCUGCUAACACUUAGUGCCAGUCUCAGGAGGUCAGUAGCUCGUGGAACUGAACAGACUGGAUUGAAACUCGAAACAUCUUCCUUUGACAGAAGCCCGUAGGGACGAUUUUGAACGUGGCUCUGUUUGUUGCUGCCUGUAUGUAACAUUUUUGUGUUGUUGUGGUUGUUAAUUUUCCUGUAUUGGGAAGAUGGUAAAUGCACUCCAGGAUGAGAAGAAAAAAUAUGCUGACACUGCUAAAUUGAGUAUAUAUUUUUGCAAUAAAGAACACUGGUCAAUAUACAACUGAGGAAAAACUGAACCAGAUGUGAGUCCUAGAACCACAAGCGUUUGAAUUUGCCCAGAAAUGCUAUUUUAAACACUCUGUAUGUUGGUCUCCUGGUUUUUUGUGGAAUAAUGCAUUCUUGGCAUCCUUCGAAGGCUUCAACAUGUUACAAGGUUAUCCGGAAAGGGAAAAGGGGAGAAAAAAAAAAAAAGCGAAGGG